UGUCUCUCAGUGCUUACCGCAGGCAGCUGGCCCUGAGCGCUGACUGCAUAGGAACGAGAGAUACAGAAUCCACCACCCUACGUGCACCACAGCCGGGCUGCUUCUCGCCCGGGCUGUAUUGUGAACAGGGAACAGCU